GCAAUGAUUGGUAGGGGAGCAUUCCAUUCGGCGUUGAAGGCGUGGCGUGAGCCAUUCUGGAGCGUAUGGAAAAGCAAAUGUAGGUAUAAGUAACGAUAAAGGGGGUGAGAAACCCCCUCGCCGAAAGACUAAGGUUUCCUGAUCAACGCUAAUCGGAUCAGGGUAAGUCGGGUCCUAAGGUUCAGCCGAACGGCGAGACCGAUGGCAGAAACGGUUAAUAUUCCGUUACUACCUUUGAGGGUGACGUGGGGACGCAGUAGUGACACCGCCGCCGGCUGACGGAAUAGCCGGUUAAAGAGUGUAGACGUCGAUUUCCGCAGGCAAAUCCACGGAAAGAGUCGAACUUGACAGUAUGGAACGUCCUUCGGGACAAUCCAAUAGUGCGGGUAAGCAGACUGCCUAGAAAAUCCGCUAAACAUAACUUCAGAGGUACCCGUACCGCAAACGGACACACGUAGUCGGGUUGAAUAUACUAAGGCGCUUGAGUGAAUCACGGUUAAGGAACUAGGCAAACUGACCCUGUAACUUCGGGAUAAAGGGUCCCUACCCAGAAAUGGGAGGGCGCAGAGAAUAGGUCCAGGCAACUGUUUAACAAAAACACAGGGCUGUGCCAAUAUGAAAGUAGACGUAUACAGCCUGACACCUGCCCGGUGCUGGAAGGUUAAGAGGAGAUGUCAUCGCAAGAGAAGCAUUGAAUUGAAGCCCCAGUAAACGGCGGCCGUAACUAUAACGGUCCUAAGGUAGCGAAAUUCCUUGUCGGGUAAGUUCCGACCUGCACGAAUGGUGUAAUGAUUUGAGCGCUGUCUUGACGGGAGGCCUGGUGAAAUUGUAUUACCGGUGAAGAUACCGGUUACCUACAGUAGGACGGAAAGACCCCAUGGAGCUUUACUGUAGCUUGGUAUUGGGUUUUGGCAUUGCAUGUAUAGGAUAGUUGGGAAACUAUGAUGGUAUGGCGCUAGCUAUAUCGGAGUUGUCGGUGGAAUACCAACCAUUCAAUGUUGAAAUUCUAAUCUGUGGUUUGGAGCCACGGAGACAGUGCUAGGUGGGCAGUUUGACUGGGGCGGUCGCCUCCGAAAGAGUAACGGAGGCGUUCAAAGGUUCUCUCAGGUUGGAUGGAAAUCAACCGCAGAGUGCAAUGGCAUAAGAGAGCUUGACUGCGAGACUGACGGGUCGAGCAGGUGCGAAAGCAGGACAUAGUGAUCCGGCGAUUCCGAAUGGAAGGAUCGUCGCUCAACGGAUAAAAGCUACCCUGGGGAUAACAGGCUGAUCCUACCCGAGAGUCCAUAUCGACGGUAGGGUUUGGCACCUCGAUGUCGGCUCAUCGCAUCCUGGGGCUGGAGAAGGUCCCAAGGGUUGGGCUGUUCGCCCAUUAAAGCGGUACGUGAGCUGGGUUCAGAACGUCGUGAGACAGUUCGGUCCCUAUCCACUGUAGGCGUUAGAAUAUUGAGAAGAUCUGUCCUUAGUACGAGAGGACCGGGAUGGACAAACCUCUGAUGUACCAGUUGUCACGCCAGUGGCACAGCUGGGUAGUCACGUUUGGAACGGAUAACCGCUGAAAGCAUCUAAGCGGGAAACCAGCUUCAAGAUAAGUAUUCUUUAAGACUCCUUCGAGACUAGGAGGUUGAUAGGUUGGGGGUGUAAGAGUUGUGAGACUUUUAGCUGACCAAUACUAAUAAGUCGAAGUUUUAACC
rnacentral:rRNA from 1 species